rnacentral:rRNA from 1 species
AGAGUUUGAUCUGGCUCAGAUUGAACGCUGGCGGCAGGCCUAACACAUGCAAGUCGAGCGGAUGAUGGGAGCUUGCUCCCGGAUUCAGCGGCGGACGGGUGAGUAAUGCCUAGGAAUCUGCCUGGUAGUGGGGGACAACGUUUCGAAAGGAACGCUAAUACCGCAUACGUCCUACGGGAGAAAGCAGGGGACCUUCGGGCCUUGCGCUAUCAGAUGAGCCUAGGUCGGAUUAGCUAGUUGGUGGGGUAAAGGCCUACCAAGGCGACGAUCCGUAACUGGUCUGAGAGGAUGAUCAGUCACACUGGAACUGAGACACGGUCCAGACUCCUACGGGAGGCAGCAGUGGGGAAUAUUGGACAAUGGGCGAAAGCCUGAUCCAGCCAUGCCGCGUGUGUGAAGAAGGUCUUCGGAUUGUAAAGCACUUUAAGUUGGGAGGAAGGGCAGUAAGUUAAUACCUUGCUGUUUUGACGUUACCAACAGAAUAAGCACCGGCUAACUUCGUGCCAGCAGCCGCGGUAAUACGAAGGGUGCAAGCGUUAAUCGGAAUUACUGGGCGUAAAGCGCGCGUAGGUGGUUUGGUAAGAUGGAUGUGAAAUC